ensembl:lncRNA
GCGGCCUCUGCCCGGGCUGCUGUGUCCUGCGGAGCUCCGAGCACGUGCAGGUGAGUGAGGUUCCAAGGAGCAAGGGGUCUGGAGGUUUUACUGGCUUAGGCGAGAAGCGUGGUAAAAAGGUUCCUUCCUAGGCAGGGAAAUAAACUGGGGUUUGUUUAUUAUUACCUCCGGCUUUGGAGGUCACCUUGAAGGGACUAGCUCGAAGAGUCACCUCCAAUGAGGUGCGGUCCCUAUCCAGUUAGGGAGUCACCUGGAAUCCGGCUCAGUUUAGCAUUUCCAGAACCCGGAACUGGUACAAAAAAAAAAAAAGGUUUGUGAGGAACACGUGUCCGCGGAGAACCUGGUCUGCUUCAGCCCACGCCCUGAAAGGGUUUUUAGACCAGAACAAUGAGGCCUGUAUUCAUUUUCCUGUUGCUUUAAAUUGGUUGGAAUUGGUUAGAAGUUAAGUUUGGGCUUGGAUAACUGGCCCUUAGAUAUGUUUAAAUGGUAUGUAAAUCGCCAGCCACUGAGGGCCUUAGAACAAGUCCUCCCACACUACGUCUAUAUUCAAUUACUAUUCGAAGUGUUAACUUUUAUUGUCUUUAAAAAUGUCCUGUAUUCAAGUCGCCUCUCUAGAUUCAGACAGCACUCUGAGUAACUUCCGCUUCUAAAUCACCGGUGCGCCUCCCACCCCCACUAUCUUUACUAAGGUGCCAUUUUGUUGUUAAACUGAGUGUACACUGUAUAUCAUAUAUCCUGUGGGGUUUUUUCUUUUUAUUUAUUUAUUUAUUUAUUUUUUGUUACGUUUGGCUUUUUGAGAAGUGCAGGAUGGCUGGUUCUCUCUUUUUUUUUUUAAAGAUUUACUUAAGUACACUAGUCUUCAGACACACCAGAAGAGGGCAUCAGAUCCCAUUACAGAUGGUUGUGAGCUACCACGUGGUUGCUGGGUUUUGAACUCAGGACCUCUGGAAGAGCAGUCAGUGUUCUUUUAACCACUAUCUCUCCAGACCCUGAAGGCAGUGGCUUGGCUUGGCUUCCUACAGCUUAAGAUUCCAGGGUUCAGCCACCAGAUCGCGGUGCACUGUGGUCCUUCUACCUGAUAUACAGGGAUACUGUUUCCUGCCAUUCCACACAUGAGAACUCCAGGUAGUAGACUUGGUUAAUGGAAUGGUUAUUUGGGAGUAGAGUUCCAAAAGUUAAGCUGUUUCUCCACUGUUUCUUGGACUCAGCCCAACAAAAUGAAGGGGAUUUGAGGGCCAGAGAUGGGUUCUGUUUUUUUAAACUGUGCGGGUGUUGACUGACUCUAAUCUAGGAUGUUUUGAUUUCAUAGUGCCCAGCUGCCAGUUUGAGGAGAUGCUUGCCCUGGAUGCCUUGAAAGUAGGGUGGUCUUCACCAGGCUAAAAGAAUGAUUGGGGAUUUAGCUCAGCGGUAGAGCGCCUGCCUAGCAAGAGGAAGGCCCUGGAAGGCCCUGGGUUCGGUCCCCAGCUCCGGAAAAGAAAAGAAAACAAAACAAAACAAAAAAGAAUGAUCCACAGCAGGGUGCUGUGGUUCUCAGGUGAGUGUCUAUUCUAGCAUUGACUGCUUCCUCUGCCAGGCCUGUGGACUACUUUGUAUGUAUCAGGAAACAAUUGGGAAACAAGUUCACUCUUGCCACUUACUGUAGAACUUUGGGGGGGUUUUUGUUUUGUUUGUUUGAAAGUAGCAUAAAAUAUUUUUGUGUCUGCCAUUCCAACUAAGGAAUGACUUGUAGGAAUAUUCUAUGUCUUAGAUAACAAUGUAUCUUGUUUCUGUUCACUGCUAAGUGUCUAAGUUUGGUUCCUGCCAAAGGGCAGAGGCUGUUGGACAAAGCUGAGAGCAUAGAGACUUCUGUGAUUUCUGUAUUCAUGUCAGCUACCUGGGGUGGUCCUGGGAUGCAUGAGAUGGGAAGGGAGAGGGAUUUCUGGAACAGUCCAGCAGUUGUCAGCUGCCCAGGCUGUGUGGUGCCUGUGAUUGUGUUACACUGUUGGAAGAGCAAAGGCUGCUUUAGAAGGGUUGGCUCCAAGCACUGUUUUGGUGUUUGGUGCUGAGUACCUUCAGGCAGUGUAUUGCAUCCCUGAGAGUGGAAUGACUCCUUGUGGAGUUGGUCCUAGUCUAGGUGCGAACAAUUUUCAUGUUAACAGACAAAAGAAUUGGGACAGGGACAAAGCUGUGUGUUUAUAGGACACUUGCCUCACAUGUACUAAGCCGUGAACCUUACUGACAGUGUGUCACCUUUUCCUCCUUAUUCUAGAGCUGAAUGAGAUCUGCGUCCAUCCAGGACUUCAGGUUUCUGACUACACCGGGUUUUGAGUAAUGUAUGUGGUCUCUGAUGUAGAGGUACUUCAGUUCAGAUGGGGGAAGUUAAGUUUGCCUUAGAGGGUUACAGAACUGAUGAAAUUCCAGAGAAUGAAGUCCAGCUAUGCUUUGGCAGAUGGGACAGCUCACACCCACGACCUCUGAGUUACAUACAUCUCCAGCUAUAAUUUGGGGGGGGGGCUAGAUGAUAUCUGUGUACUACAUAUGGCUAGCUACUUGCUAAUUAAAAAGUAAGUGGUUUUCAGACAUAUCUAGUUGGAUGGUAGCCAUCUUAGAAUGUUCCAGAAAGUUUAGGAUACUGCUUUGUAAAAGCAAAGGUUUAUAAAGACUUUUUAAAUUUAUUUUUAUUAUUUAUUUAUUUAUUUUUUAAUAUUUUUUAUUUUUAUUUUUUAUCCCUAUAGUAAAUGUUGUUAGUACUGUCUUUGGCUUUUGCAACUAUGUUGCUUCUGUGUGUGAAAAGUAAUGUAUCGGCAAAUGAACAUGGCUAUAUUCCAAUAAAACAUAACUGAUGAACACUGACAUUGGGAUUUCAUUGGCAAUUUCAGAGUCAACGUUCCCAAAUGUUUGAAAGCUUAAGAUCUUCCCAAGGCACAUUGACAAAGAGAUAGCAGGAUAAGGAUUAGUAACAUUUCUGACCUUGAGGAUUGAACAGCAUUAGUCAGGUAUCAAUAUGUAUCUUCACAGUUUUCUCUACAUAUAAUUCUCCUGGGUCAGCCUUCCAAGUACUCGAUUCAUGAACCACUUGCUAAGCUUUCAUUGGUGUUCCUUAUUGUAGAAGGAUAAGGUGACUAAAUUAUCCUGAAGAAUCCGAAUCAUACUUAUUUCUUACCUCUGGGCUUAUAUGGCUUCCAUCAUAGUUGUUCUCUCCAUUUGUAAUGGGCUUAAAGCAAAAUUUAAACAUGUGUAUGCCCCUAGAGGGCAGCAGAGGACUUUUAAUCUGCGGGAAUGGGUGCUGAGAACUUGGUGCUCUAGAGGACCAGCAAGGUAACCACUGAGCCAUCUGUCCAGAUCCAACACUUUUUCACAUGGGUCCUCAUAUGUUUGGUUGGCCUCGUACCUAAACCGCCUCCAUCCCUGAAGUGCUGGAAUAAGUAAAGACCAUCACAUCUGGCAGAUCCUGCAGCCUGUCUCCUGUCAUGGGAUUACAGGUGCCACAUCUGGUUGAUCGCCAUUUUGGAGACAGUCUUGUAUAACCACUACUGGCCUUAAACUUCACAGAACAGUAACCUUACUGUGUCUUGAAAGCAUUCUGGUACCUGCAAGUUGCCACCAUGCCCUUCCUGCAGCAAUUUUAAUUUUGUACUUUGAUUUUGAGUGGGAAUGCAUAUGCUGCUCACAACACUAGUGGGCGUCCGAGGGCACCACUGAGUUCACCCUCUUUCUUCCAUGUGAGUCCUGGGAAUCCAACUAAGCUGUGGGCUUGGCAGGAGGCAGCUUUAUCCAUUAAGCCUUCUACAGAAGUUUGGCUCUUGGACUGUUCAGGUUGCCUUCCUGGCCAUGGGUAGGCAUGCUUACAGCUUGGUUGUCUGUGAUCUUGAAAGAAGAUAAUACUGUGGCUAUUAAUGCAUGGAUUCCCUGUCCUGGGGGUUUCAAUGCCAUAGAUAAUGCAACUAAAGUAAUUUAAUGGGAUUUACUAAUUGAUAAAUGGAGUUAAUUAGUCACUACUUAUCCCAGUUGUCCUUUAGGUCCUGCUAAAUUCAAGUUGAAUCAUUAAAGCAUUCAAAACAACUUACACUGUUUUAUUAUUUUGUGGGGGAAAGUUGAGGAGACAGUUUAUCAGUUAAAG